CAGAAAUCAUUUCUUUUGCCUUACUUUUCUUUUUCUUUUCCGUGAAACCCUCCACUUUGUUCCCUCAAUCACUCUCUUUUUAUUUUCCCUCAGCUCCCUCAAACUCAACUCUCAUUAUCUCCCGUCAAGCUCUCAAGCUCUCUCUCUCUCCUUCUCUCAAAACCCACGGACCAAACAACAAGUUCAUCAAAACUUCAUAGAUCGACGAAACAAAAAUCACCAUCUUCUUCGUUUCGACGAUACGAGUUCAACCGUACCAAUUUCAGGACUUUUCAAGCUUAUAGGAAGCUUCUUAAGAUCCUUAGGAGGCUUGGAGUAGUUCGUUGGAAGUUUUUGGACGUAAGAACACGGAGAACGACAAGUUCAAAGUUUGGCCGGAGAUUUCGGGGCUUUUUCCGGUGAAUCCACGCAGAUUUAGGGGUCAAGGAAGAAAUUCCGGCAAAACACCCACCUCCGGCGAAACCAGUCCGGCGACGCAAGGAAGAAGACGACGCGCGUGAGCAGAUCUUCUAGGGGCGCGUGAGGGCGCGUCGUAGCUCAAAAAAUUGUUCUAAAAAUUGCUACGUAUUUGUGACGUCGUGUAGAUCACCGUGGUAUAUUCACAUACCCAAAUUGAGCAACGUAUGAGAAAGUUAUUGACGAAUGUUUGUGUAUGUGCGUUUAAAUGAUGUUUUAUAAUUAUUUUUGUAUAGGUGAAAAUUAUACGGACGAAGAACUUAACCAAAAUAGGCGAGGGAGUUACGAACCGGCUACUUAUCAGUGAGUGGGCAGUUAUUUUUCAGUAUAUAUAUACGUAUACUUGACGUAUUUCCCAGAAAACGUAUUUUAAAAGAAAUACGAAUUAAGUAACUUAUCAUGUAUGCAUCAUAUUUUAGUAUAUGCAUUACCAUAAUUAUGCAUAUUGUUGCAUGGUGCUGAGGAGGCCCAGGUAAGCUACAUGUGAGUAAAUACAUUUGAUAUACGUAUAAAAUACAUAUGAAAUACGAUUGAUAUACGUUUGAAAUACGAUUGAUAUACGUAUAAAAUACAUUUGAUAUACGUAUAGUAUACAUUUGAAAUACGUACGAAAUACGUAUAAUAUACAUUUGAAAUACGUACGAAAUACAGUUGAUAUACGUAUGAGAAAUGUGAUUAAGAUAUGUUUGAGAAAUGUGAUUGAGAUAUGUUUGAGAAAUGUUUGAGAUAUACUUGUGAUAUGAUUCGAGAUAUAAUUGUGAUACGAUUGAGAUAUUAUGCUGAUAACGAUCAUGAGAUAUUAUGCUGAUAACGAUCAUGAGAUAUAGUUGAGAUAUGAUGAAUUAUAUGAUUGAGAUGCGAUUGAAAGCUCAUUUACUUGCACACGUAUAUUAGUGCUCCCGCCCAGAGUUAGGGGCACAGCCUUCACGUGUAUGUUCACCUCCCGCACCGCAUGCUCGCCUUGGAUCCAAGUUAAGUGUACAGCCUGUCGUAUAGACCACUUAUGUGGGUUCGACUUGUUGGUGACCCGCGAUUUAUCGCACAGCUUCACGUGAUUGUAGCACUAGAGCAUAUUAUAUUAUAUACGAUGAUGAAUUGCAGACCAUAUGAGGUGGUAUUGAAUGUGUGCAGGAUAUACAUGUUUAUACAUGAUUGUGAUGAGAUGAUUAUGAGCUAUAUAUGCAGCCGAGGGCUGAGUUGAUUGUGAUGAGAUGAUUAUGAAUUAUGUUUAUAGCCGAGCGUUGAAUUGAUUAUAUGUUAUCCCAUCAGAUUCACAUAGGAGAUUAAGCAUUCAGUUAUGAUACUUGGCAUGACAUACCUUCAUAUUGUUCCGCAUGAUUUGAUAUAUAUAUUAAGUAUAUGAUUAUAUACUUUACUUCUGGGAAACUAUACUUGUUUUACGGC